CGCGUAGGCGGCUUUGUAAGUCUGGAGUGAAAGUCCUCUUUUCAAGGGAGGAAUUGCUUUGGAAACUAUAGAGCUUGAGUGCAGGAGAGGUUAUCGGAAUUCCCGGUGUAGCGGUGAAAUGCGUAGAUAUCGGGAGGAACAUCGGUGGCGAAGGCGGGUAACUGGACUGCAACUGACGCUGAGGCGCGAAAGUGUGGGAGCAACA
rnacentral:rRNA from 1 species